UUUCGAUGUUUCGAUUUGAAUGGUCUGAGGUUUCAUUCGAACAGGGGACGGUGGUUUGUUACAGUGUAGGGUUGCAAAUGGGAAACGCAGCAAAAAGACAAAAUUCUUCUUCGUUAUGCCCUUCUUCAUAUCCUAUGCAUGCUAUCGUGGUCAGCAAAUACGACAAAGAACUCAAAGAAGACGUUAGCUGUUGCUUGUUGUGUUUUAUUCGCUCCCUGCACCGCACGGAGAGUACCGCUCAUUGUGUGGAUCGCUUUCUCACAUAUUAGUUGAAAAAGAGUGUGCAAAGUAAAUUGGAGAACCACACACUGUUUGUCGAGUGUUGUGAGAUGCACGCACAAAGUUGCUUUGCUAACGCUCUGAGGUGCUUUCCAGCCCUGCUGGUCUUAGAAAACUUUUCAAGAGCAAAAAUUUUAAGAGAAAGUUCCGGUUAUUAUCCGGUUUUCCCUGCUUUAGGGAUGUCCAGAAAAGUUCAGGUAUAAUAAGAGGUUUUAGGGCAAGUUCCGCAAAGUUACGAAGAAGUUUCUACAACUUCAGGAGAAAUACGGGAAAUUAGCGGGAACUAUUGAAAAGUACUGAGAAAUUCAGGGAAGUCUAAAGAACUUAACGAAAUUCAGACGUCCUUUGGUCAGUUAUAAUAACAUCAGAAAUGCAUGUUCAACAUCAUGGAAACCUAGAUUUUUGGAGAAGUUUUAAGAUGAUUUAAGGACUGUUCCAUGAAUUUCCGAAAAUUUUCUGAACUGAACCUAAUUGCAAAUCUAAGAACUACAUUAAGGGAAAUAAAUGUUUUCGGCACGUUUUUACUUUUCUAAAAAUAUUGGAAAAAAAUAUCCAUAUUUAUUUAGAUACCUGAGAAAAUUUACAUGUAAAAAUAUUGUUUUCUAUCUCACCAUACAAACAAAUUGGACCCUCAGCAAAACCAAAAGGUCGAUGUUUUGUGGUUUUUGAAGUCCAACUUUACGCCAUGAUGACUUUGAAAAAAUUGCGCGUGAAUUUUCUUUACAAAAUUUAAAAAAAAUGUGAUUAUCGAAACGAUAAACUUACCCUUAAUAAUUUCGUUAUAAUUUCAGCAAAAAUAGUGGAACCUUCGGAAAGUUCCGGAAAUUUCACGAUCCAAAUUACUCCGGAGCAGUUAAGAAAUUUUAGGAAAACAUCGAGAACUUCAAGAAAACUCCGAAAAUUUCCAUAAUCAUCAGAAAAUGUUAGGGAAUAUCUGAGAAUUUCAGAAAAACUCCGAGAGCCUCAGUUUAUUGAACAUUAGCAAAAGUCGGGAGCAUUUCAAAUGAAGUGCCGUAAGCUUCAGAUUUUGGGUAAGUUUUACGAUCAUUUAGGCUUGGUUGUGAGAUUUCUGAAAAAUUUCGAGAACUACAGUGAAGAUCAAAGUGCCUCAAGGGAAGUCAUAUUAACUUUAGCAAAGUGCAGGAACGUUACAGAAAUUGCCAAAACGAUAAUUAAGUUUAAAGUUCUAAAGGGAAGUCACCUGAACUCCGGGGUGGUUUUGAGAACUAAAGGACAGUUUCGUGAAUAUCAGAUUUUUUUUCCUUGGAUUUGUUUUUCGUCGAUCUUGUUUUCCGUGCUGAGCACCAAUGCUACCGACGCCAGGAAGGCAGCUCCCACACCUGGACCCUAUCUAUCGACCCACCAACUCAUGAACCGGGGACCAACGGCUUUACUUCCCUUCCGAAGGAAGGCGUGAUCAGAGAUGUUAUGCCUCAGAACAUCCCGGUGGCGCCGACUGGGAUUGAACCCAGGCGUGCUGGGGUGAGAGGUAAUCACGCUUAUCACUACAACACCAGCGCCGAAUAUCAGAAUGAUUGCGGGAAGUUUAGGGAAGUUCCGAGAAUUACUGGUUCAUUUAGAGGACUUAAGGUCAGUUACAUUGAAAAUAGCGAGAACAUUCAAGAAGUUCCAAAAACUAAAGAUGGUCUUGAAAACAUCAGGGAAGUUAAGAGAACUUAAGAAAAAAAUUCGGGAACUUCACAGAAGUUCCGAAAAGUUCACGGAAGUGCAGAAAACAUCAUGAAGCUUAGAUCAUUAAUACAGUUUCAUCAAUUUCAGGGCGAAGAGAUAAAACCAGCCCAGGACAAUUCCAGGCACAUCAUCAGACCAAGAGUAGCGCGAACUUCAGAGUGGUCCACACAACUUUUAAAAAAUCCAAGGAAUCGUGGAGUUUCAUGAACUGACACCAAGGCAGCUUCAAGGAAACUGCGGCAACUUUUACGAGGUUCUAGAAAGUCGAGAAAACUUUAGAGAAAUCCAGACAACUUGAGGCAAAUCGUAAAAAAACUGUAAAGAAGAUCCAAGAACGUUAGGGAAGCUAUGUCUAUAAAUGCCCCGUAACGUGGGUAGAUCACCUUUUCGUGGUGCGUUACGGGAUGUAAGAUCUACCACCGAUUCCUAGUCCUGACUACUUCAAACUAGGGAACAGGAUUUUUCAGUAAUCCAAGGAACACAUCUUAGUCCUUGUUACUUUUUAUGCCUUGUUGAUAGUGACAAGACUCGGCUUUGUCUA